UACGAAGGAUGCAAGCGUUGCGCGGAUUUAUGGGGUUUAAAGGGUGCGUAGGCGGCUUAUUAAGUUAGUGGUGAAAACGUUCGGCUUAACCGGAUACCCGCCAUUGAUACUGAUAGACUUGAGUGCGACAGAGGGUGUUGGAAUGUGUGGUGUAGCGGUGAAAUGCUUAGAUAUCACGCAGAACACCAAUUGCGAAGGCAGAUGCCUAUGUCGUAACUGACGCUGAGGCACGAAAGCGUGGGGAGCAAACAGG
rnacentral:rRNA from 1 species